UACGGAGGGUGCAAGCGUUGCUCGGAAUUACUGGGCGUAAAGGGUCCGCAGGCGGGCAUUUAAGUCGGAUGUGAAAGCCCAGGGCUCAACUCUGGAACUGCAUUCGAAACUGGAUGCCUCGAGUACGGGAGAGGAGAGCGGAAUUCCUGGUGUAGAGGUGAAAUUCGUAGAUAUCAGGAGGAACACCCGUGGCGAAAGCGGCUCUCUGGCCCGAUACUGACGCUCAUGGACGAAAGCGUGGGGAGCAAAC
rnacentral:rRNA from 1 species